rnacentral:lncRNA from 1 species
AGCUACUUCAUGGGUUGCUGAAAACAGUUGACAAAUCAAAAAGAAAGCUAACAGUAAACCACAAGAGUUACUAAUUUGAGAAUUGACCAAAACCUCUUAUGUCAAGAGCUCAUGGCAAUAUAAUCUCAGAAUUCCUUCCUUUCCUCAGCUUUGACUUUUCUUCCUUCCUUCCUUCCUUCCUUCCUUCCUUCCUUCCUUCCUUCCUUCCGUCCGUCCGUCCGUCCGUCUGUCCUUUGACUGGCAAAUUCUGCCUUGGACAUGCCUUAUGUCAGAGUGAUCUUCCCACCUAUUAUGCUUGGAAAUUACAAAGGUCAGUUUUUAAUUCCUGACUUUUUGCCUGGUUGUCUGCAGACAUAUGUUAGGUAGAGAUGAUAGGUCAUACUAUCUGGCAAACAGCUCAGUCAAUCUUCCCCACAGUUGGAAAUCACCAGAACAGAAUGGUAUCUCUUGCUCUCUCCUAGGCACCCCCAACAAAGAUGGAAGCAUGGGUAUUGAAAGUUACAUAUGGAGAGGAGUGCAUUAGCAGGAUACAGCCUAGUCACAAUCUCCUUUCCACAAACCCCUUUCCAUUGACUGUGUUUCCAUUUCUUCCACUGGUCAACUGGAUUUUCCCCUUCACUUGCUGUGAAAGAAGUAAGAGUCGGAGAAAUGUAAAACAGCCUUAAAAGCUCCCUAUCUGAUCAAAGGAAAUUCCCCCAGCGCAGGCCAGGCAGAGACUGCCAAAGGCUUUGCUCCGGUUACUUUUUAACAAGCCACUGCAGAAUGGGCUGAGUUAAUUUUUCAGGCUGCUGUAUGGCACAAAGGCAACAACCUGGACAAAAUCUGCUGGAUUCAUCUCCUAUAGCAGUUCAGUACUAGGAGAAUGACAAGAUUGCUUAAAGGCAACCCAUCCUGAGACAUGCUAGCUUCAUACAACACUGGAUCUUCCAUCAGUUUCUGUAGGACUCAGGAUAUGCUUGAACCAUUUCAAAUGCAAGCUGACUGUCUGCAGAUUAGCUACC